CCUACGGGUGGCAGCAGUGGGGAAUAUUGGACAAUGGGCGAAAGCCUGAUCCAGCCAUGCCGCGUGUGUGAAGAAGGCCUUCGGGUUGUAAAGCACUUUCAGUGGGGAAGAAAGCCUUGGGGCUAAUACCCUCGAGGAAGGACAUCACCCACAGAAGAAGCACCGGCUAACUCCGUGCCAGCAGCCGCGGUAAUACGGAGGGUGCGAGCGUUAAUCGGAAUUACUGGGCGUAAAGCGCGCGUAGGCGGUCUGAUAAGCCGGUUGGGAAAGCCCCGGGCGCAACCUGGGAACGGCAUCCGGAACUGUCAGGCUAGAGUGCAGGAGAGGAAGGUAGAAUUCCCGGUGUAGCGGUGAAAUGCGUAGAGAUCGGGAGGAAUACCAGUGGCGAAGGCGGCCUUCUGGACUGACACUGACGCUGAGGUGCGAAAGCGUGGGUAGCAAACAGGAUUAGAUACCCGGGUAGUC
rnacentral:rRNA from 1 species